GGGGGACAACAGUUGGAAACGACUGCUAAUACCGCAUAAGCCCACGGCUCGGCAUCGAGCAGAGGGAAAAGGAGCAAUCCGCUUUGAGAUGGCCUCGCGUCCGAUUAGCUAGUUGGUGAGGUAAUGGCCCACCAAGGCGACGAUCGGUAGCCGGACUGAGAGGUUGAACGGCCACAUUGGGACUGAGACACGGCCCAGACUCCUACGGGAGGCAGCAGUGGGGAAUAUUGCACAAUGGGGGAAACCCUGAUGCAGCGACGCCGCGUGGAGGAAGAAGGUCUUCGGAUUGUAAACUCCUGUUGUUGGGGAAGAUAAUGACGGUACCCAACAAGGAAGUGACGGCUAACUACGUGCCAGCAGCCGCGGUAAAACGUAGGUCACAAGCGUUGUCCGGAAUUACUGGGUGUAAAGGGAGCGCAGGCGGGAAGACAAGUUGGAAGUGAAAUCUAUGGGCUCAACCCAUAAACUGCUUUCAAAACUGUUUUUCUUGAGUAGUGCAGAGGUAGGCGGAAUUCCCGGUGUAGCGGUGGAAUGCGUAGAUAUCGGGAGGAACACCAGUGGCGAAGGCGGCCUACUGGGCACCAACUGACACUGAGGCUCGAAAGUGUGGGUAGCAAACAGGAUUAGAUACCCUGGUAGUCCACACCGUAAACGAUGAUUACUAGGUGUUGGAGGAUUGACCCCUUCAGUGCCGCAGUUAACACAAUAAGUAAUCCACCUGGGGGGUACGACCGCAAGGUUGAAACUCAAAGGAAUUGACGGGGGCCCGCACAAGCAGUGGAGUAUGUGGUUUAAUUCGACGCAACGCGAAGAACCUUACCAAGUCUUGACAUCCCUUGACGAUGCUGGAAACAGUGUUUCUCUUCGGAGCAAGGAGACAGGUGGUGCAUGGUUGUCGUCAGCUCGUGUCGUGAGAUGUUGGGUUAAGUCCCGCAACGAGCGCAACCCUUAUGGUCAGUUACUACGCAAGAGGACUCUGGCCAGACUGCCGUUGACAAAACGGAGGAAGGUGGGGAUGACGUCAAAUCAUCAUGCCCUUUAUGACUUGGGCUACACACGUACUACAAUGGCGUUAAACAAAGAGAAGCAAGACCGCGAGGUGGAGCAAAACUCAGAAACAACGUCCCAGUUCGGACUGCAGGCUGCAACUCGCCUGCACGAAGUCGGAAUUGCUAGUAAUCGUGGAUCAGCAUGCCACGGUGAAUACGUUCCCGGGCCUUGUACACACCGCCCGUCACACCAUGAGAGCCGGGGGGACCCGAAGUCGGUAGUCUAACCGCAAGGAGGACGCCGCCG
rnacentral:rRNA from 1 species